GACGAACGCUGGCGGCGUGCUUAACACAUGCAAGUCGAACGAAGUGGCGAACGGGUGAGUAAUACGUGAGUAACCUGCCCUCCUUUUUGGGAUAAGCCUUGGAAACGGGGUCUAAUACCGAAUAAAGGGGGAUGGGCUCGCGGCCUAUCAGCGUGUUGGUGGGGUGAUGGCCUACCAAGGCGGUGACGGGUAGCCGGCCUGAGAGGGUGACCGGCCAAAUUGGGCCUGGUAUACGUCCCAGACUCCUACUGGAGGCAGGUGUGGUGGAUAUUGCACCAUGGGCGAAAGCCUGAUGCAGCGCCGCCGCGGGGGGGAUGAAGGGUUUCGAAUUGUAAGCGUCUUUCACUAUCGAUCGGGUAGGUGGAGAAGAAGCGCCGGCUAACUACGUGCUAGCAGCCGCGGUAAUAC
rnacentral:rRNA from 1 species